rnacentral:rRNA from 1 species
CGGAGGGGGCUAGCGUUGUUCGGAAUUACUGGGCGUAAAGCGCACGUAGGCGGACCAGAAAGUUGGGGGUGAAAUCCCGGGGGCUCAACCUCGGAACUGCCUUCAAAACUAUCGGUCUGGAGUUCGAGAGAGGUGAGUGGAAUUCCGAGUGUAGAGGUGAAAUUCGUAGAUAUUCGGAGGAACACCAGUGGCGAAGGCGGCUCACUGGCUCGAUACUGACGCUGAGGUGCGAAAGCGUGGGGGAGCAAACAGGAUU